AGGGGCGGGGCCGCAGGGCGGGACGAACCGCCUGGAGCAAGGCGGGCGUGAGCGGGUUUCGCUGUGACUUCCGAUGGGGCGGGCAGCGAUGAGGCUGCUGGCAUGGCUCCUGUGCUUCGCGUCCCUCUUGGUGCUCAUCUACUCUGAGGAUGUGUUUGGCAUUGUGGGAGAAAAUUUUACUUUUCCAGUAGAAAUAAAGCAAAGAAUAGAGGAUAUUACUUGGAACAAAAACAAGGAUAUAGUGGCUGAAUGGGAUGGGCAAGACCCACCGACAUAUUUAACUCAUCUCCAAGGCAGGAGUGUGCUUAAGGAGAAUGGGAAUUUGACUAUAUUUAACUUGGAGAAGAGUGAUGCUGGCACAUAUGAGUUAGUCUACCGGACUUCUGGGAAAGAUGGUUGUUUAGAAUUCAUUCUUGAGGUAUUAGAUCCCCCUUCAGAACCUAAAAUAAAUUACAGCAUCAAGGGUGAUACCCUUGUGUUAAACUGUACAUCAGAUUUCCAGAGGCCUGUGAAUUACACUUGGAAGCUCAGUAAUGAUCCACGCAGCCAUUGGAGCCGGGAAUUUUCCAUCCCUAUAAAGAAUAUUGAUGCUACCAAGAACGCUACAUGUUUCAUUACAUUCUCACAAACGGAAAGAAGCUCUGAAAUCUCUUUGAUUCAAUGCAUUUCAGAUGAAGAAGGAUACGGCUCUCAGAAAAGAAACAGAACUAUUCUUAUUGUGCUUUUUUCCCUCUUUAUACUUCUGGGAAUCCUAGUAUUCCUAUACAUGAGAGGUAGAGAUAAAUUCGAAAGAGGAAGAGUUGCUCAGAACAGUCCAGUGCAUGGCUCAGGAGAACGUGAGCAACUUUUCUCUAUGGACAGCCAGGAACAGCAUAACUCAGACAGAGCUAUAUUUUCACAGCCUGUUCAUUGUGAGAAUGAAAGGCCUGAAGCAGACAGAGAAUUGAACAAGGAGGACAGCGCCCUGAAAAACGAGCAGACAGUUAACAAUGGUGUAAAUAAGGAAGAACUGUCUGCCACGCAGAGCAGCACCCUGAGAUCCAAGUGUGCAGUUGAUGAUGGUGUAACUGAGGAAGAACUGACGCAGGUUGCAGAAGGUGGAAAUGAGGAGCACCUGAACGACUCUCCCAACUAAGAAGGAAAGAAAAAUCAGAUGAUGUUUUGUCUGUCAUACAGUCCUUAUUUGAAUGGUGUAACUAUGAGUAUCUCAUACUGGUUUCUGCUUUUUGUGUCGUACAUCAGUGUCCCCAAACUUUUUUGAUGGUGCACCACAUCAGUAAAAUACUUCGAACAUAUACACACAAUUUAUACAUAUUUAUUUAUAAAUUAUAUAUUAUUACUACCAUAAUUAUUAUAUGCAUUCUAAAAUAUGCACAAAAAUAAAAAUUAAAAAUUGUAGGGAUGAAAUAAGCAGUGGGUUUAAUUUUUAAAUUUUAUUAAUGGUGCAAAAAUAUGUUUUUCCUGCACCACAAUGGAUUGUCUUGUACACACCCACUUUGGAGCCUGCUGAUACAGAUAAUCCAUUUAAAGAUUCUCAAAAUGGGCAGUGAUGUGGAAGCAAGUGGCACCUUACUGCUGCAGAGUUUUUUGUUCUGUCAGGUUUGAUACUUCUGUUGAAUUACCAGCCAAGCAAUCACAUUCUGAUAUUUUCUGAAAACAAUGCUGAAAAGGGAAAAAAAUCUCUGAAUGUGAAGAAACAUGGAUAAGUGGAAAGGUGGGAGGGAGUUAGGACUAAGUAUAAGAAACCUGACUCUGUGAUGUGGACAAAGCUGCUGAUGAAACUGUCUUGAAACAAGGAAGCAGACUUGAAACAGGGCUGUACAACUGUAGAGGAAGCUGUGACGUCUCCUAAUAACUGAGUCAUAUCCUGUUAGUUACCAAGGAGUAAUACUGAAGACCAAAUGAAAUCUUAAAUCAUAAGCAAAUAAUUGCUUUUUGGAGCAAAGAAAGAUGGAAGAGAAGCUGUAAAAUUCAGUGGUGAAGAAGCUACUACCUCUUCCUUUGAAGGUCUUCCACAUACAAUGAAGUUAUCAGAGCUUCAUAAAGAACCACUUUGAAGACUAGUCGAGCAGUUUCCAGUGCCUAUUUUUCUUUGCUCAAAAGGGACAGCCUCCUUUUCUAGUGUUACUGUGUGAAGAUAAAUAGGCUGAAUCAUGGAAAAAGUCUUUUGGGUUGUUUUGUAUGCAGUUUUUAGUGCUCUACUAACACAGAAUGUAAGAGCUAAGGCCUAACUGCUCAGCUUUCUAUGCAAUUUUUGAUCAGUACCUUUUUAUAGUCAGAAGAAAGGCAGCUCAUCCUUCAGCAGACCCAGAUGGAUGGAAGUUGCAUUUUCUAGUCUUGGUUAUGCAACAAGAACUCAGUGCUCCAGACAAAGCUGUCUCCUGGACUUGGCAGAAGCCUGGCAAACUGAUCAUCUCAUGACAGUGGUUAUUUGUGAUUAAACCACAUUUCAGUUUGUUUAAACUACAUUUCAGUUUGUUGUUGCACUGGAACAAAGUUGCACUACUAUUAACUGUGGUUUAUUUUUUAUCUAAAGCUUUUUAUAAUUUUUGCAUGUUGUUACCUUUCAUCUUUCUCCUUGUUUCAACUUAUGCCCAUUAUCUUCCAUUCUCUCAAGUGGAACUACUGUCUCCAUCUUCUUGAUGAUCAGUUUAAUGAUCAGUAAGUAUGGGAAGGAUGCUGCUAGUACCCUCCUAAAGCCUACUCUUCUCCAGGCUUGAACAAGUACAGUGCCUUCAGCUUCUCCUUCUUUGCAGGACAAGUGCUCUGACCAUCUUGGUAGCCCUUCACUGAACUUGCUCCAAUUUAAUUGAUCUCUGCCUUCUUGAAGGGGUCCAGUGCAGUAUUCUAAAUGCAGUCUAAUCAAUGUGUGCUGAGUAGAGGAGGAUAAUCACUACUCUCAAUCUACUGGCUAAGCUCCUGGUAAUACAGACCAGGAUGCUGUUGUCUGCCUUUGCUGCCAGAGAACACUGCUGGCUCAUGUUCUACUUGCUGCUUAUUGAUGUCCCUCUGCUUCUUUUCAACAGAACUGCUCCCCUGCCAGCCACAUCCUGGCUUGUAUUAUUGCAAGUGGUUCCUCUUUCCAAGAGCUUUACAUUUGUCCUUUUUUAAUUUUGACCUGUCUAGGUCUCUCUGUCGGGCAGUCCUUUAGUAUGGUGAGGCGUUGGUGAGGCCACACCUGGAGUACCGUGUCCAGUUCUGGGCCCCUCAGUUCAGGAAGGAUAUUGAGGUCCUGGAGCAGGUCCAGAGGAGGGCACCUAGGCUGGUGAAGGGACUCAAGCACAAGACCUAUGAGGAGAGGCUGAGGGAGCUGGGGCUGUUCAGCCUGGAGAAGAGGAGGCUCAGAGGAGACCUCAUCACUCUCUACAUCUCCCUGAAAGGAGGUUGUAGCCAGGUGGGGGUUGGUCUCUUUUCCCAGGCAACUAUCAGCAAGACAAGAGGGCAUGGUCUCAAGUUGUGCCAGGGAAGGUUUACGUUAGAUAUUAGAAAGAAUUUCUUUACAGAGAGGGUGAUCAGACAUUGGAAUGGGCUGCCCAGGGAAGUAGUGGAUUCUCCGUCCCUGGAGAUUUUUAAAAAAGAGACUGGAUGUGGCACUUAGUGCCAUGGCCUAGUAACUGCAGCGGUAGUGGAUCAAGGGUUGGACUUGAUGAUCUCAGGUCUCUUCCAACCCAGCUGAUUCUAUGAUUCUAUGUUGACUGACUGUCCACAAUUUGGUGUCAUCUGCAAACUUGACUUAAAGAUUAUCUAGUGCCAUUGACAAGGAUGUCAUUCAGUAGACCAGGUUGCUGAAAACCCCAUCCAACUUGACCUUGAACGCUGCCAGUGAUGGGGCAUCCACAACUGCUUAGCCAAGCUGAAUCUUCUGAUUUACCUGCGUAUUUCCUGUCAGCAUGACCUGAUAGUCUCCAAGCUCAUGUAGUUCUGUGAACUCGAGGGCUAAAAUUCUGCCUCCUUGCUUUCUACACUGCAUGCAUUUGUGCAUGUAUCUUCUGGCCCCUUCUGCCAAUAUUUUUCUUUCUGAGGUCUGUUUUGUUUCUAUGACCCUGUACCCUUCAGACCUCUAUCCUCUAUGUCUUAACUAACAGUAUGAGAAGGAUCACAGAUAACUUGUGCCCUUACCAUGUCCUAUGGUAGGAAGUAAAGACCCUACAGAAAAUGAACUUUUUGCUUAUUUCUGCACAUACCAUUGAAGCAUUUUACAGGAACUGCAUUGCAUUUCAGAUGAUCUUUUUGUAGGGCUAGAUACCUUACCUCUACUGUUGUCUGUAAAUAUUUGUUUGUAAUUUAUUAAAAAAAUACUUAAGAUGUAAAAAA